CCUACGGGUGGCAGCAGUGGGGAAUAUUGCACAAUGGGGGGAACCCUGAUGCAGCGACGCCGCGUGAGUGAAGAAGUAUUUCGGUAUGUAAAGCUCUAUCAGCAGGGAAGAAGAUGACGGUACCUGACUAAGAAGCCCCGGCUAACUACGUGCCAGCAGCCGCGGUACUACGUAGGGGGCAAGCGUUAUCCGGAUUUACUGGGUGUAAAGGGAGCGUAGACGGCAGGGCAAGUCUGGAGUGAAAGCCCGGGGCCCAACCCCGGGACUGCUUUGGAAACUGCCAUGCUGGAGUGCUGGAGAGGUAAGCGGAAUUCCUAGUGUAGCGGUGAAAUGCGUAGAUAUUAGGAGGAACACCAGUGGCGAAGGCAGCAUACCGGCGCCCGACUGACGCUGAGGCACGAAAGCGUGGGUAUCGAACAGGAUUAGAUACCCCAGUAGUC
rnacentral:rRNA from 1 species